UACGAAGGGAGCUAGCGUUGUUCGGAAUCACUGGGCGUAAAGCGUGCGCAGGCGGUUUUGUAAGCCAGAUGUGAAAUCCCCGGGCUUAACCUGGGAAUGGCAUUUGGGACUGCAAGGCUUGAGUGCGGCAGAGGAGACUGGAAUUCCUGGUGUAGCAGUGAAAUGCGUAGAUAUCAGGAGGAAUACCGAUGGCGAAGGCAGGUCUCUGGGCUGACACUGACGCUCAUGCACGAAAGCGUGGGGAGCAAACAGG
rnacentral:rRNA from 1 species